GAUGAACGCUGGCGGCGUGCUUAACACAUGCAAGUCGAACGGAAAGGCCCUGCUCUUGUGGGGUGCUCGAGUGGCGAACGGGUGAGUAACACGUGAGUAACCUGCCCUUGACUUUGGGAUAACUUCAGGAAACUGGGGCUAAUAUCGGAUAGGAGCUCUUGCUGCAUGGUGGGGGUUGGAAAGUUUCGGCGGUUGGGGCUGGACUCGCUGCUUACCAGCUACUUUGUGGGGUAGUGGCUUACCAAGGCUUCGACGGAUAGCCGGCCUGAGAGGGUGGCCGGCCACAUUAGGACUGAGAUACGGACCAGACUCCUACGGGAGGCAGCAGUGGAGAGUAUUACGCAAUGGGCCGAAGCCUGAUACAGCAACGCCGCGUGCGGAAUGACGGGCUUCGGGUUAUAAACCGCUUUCGCAUGUGACGAGGCGGGAGUGACGGUAAUGGGUAAGGAAGCCCCGGCUAACUACGUG
rnacentral:rRNA from 1 species